GCUAAACUGCGCUGGGUUGGCGUAUCUCGCUGGGUUCAUUUCUUGGGAUGUUGUUAUUGUUUUGUGCGUAUUUGCCGGGCGUCAGUAAUGAAGUUGUGCUGCUGGGCUGUGCUGCUAUGAAGUUGAAGUUGCUAAAUCAUGGUGAUGUAGAAAUCGCGUAGCGCGCAUAUAAUGCAUCUACUGUGAUAUGAAUGCCCCACGUCAAUGUGAAACGCGCAGCGUUCAGGCGCACACAGCACAGGAGCCAGCUUCAAACGAGGACCUGAGCCCUAUAGGACCAUGCCUCAGGACUACCUGACAUGAUGACUCCUUGCUGUCCCCAGUCCACCUGGCCGUGCUGCUGCUCCAGUUUCAACUGUUCUGCCUUAUUAUUAUUGGACCAUGCUGGUCAUUUAUGAAAAUUUGAACAUCUUGGCCAUGUUCUGUUAUAAUCUCCACCCGGCACAGCCAGAAGAGGACUGGCCACCCCACAUAGCCUGGUUCCUCUCUAAAUUUCUUCCUAGGUUUUGGCCUUUCUAGGGAGUUUUUCCUAGCCACCGUGCUUCUACACCUGCAUUGCUUGCUGUUUGGGGUUUUAGGCUGGGUUUCUGUACGGCACUUUGAGAUAUCAGCUGAUGUACGAAGGGCUAUAUAAAUAAAUUUGAUUUGAUGAGCUGAGGAGAGGAAGCC
ensembl:lncRNA